CUGCCCUCACACAUGUGUUACUGACAGAGCAGAAUCCCAACUACACUCCGGCUCGGCUCCGCCGUCAGCCCGCCGCAGCCAAUCCGCCCCCGGCUUGUUCAGGCGGAAUAAUAAAACCUGCCAAUCCCCGAGAAGACAAAGGAGGCACACCUCAGUCACAGCACACGCAAACGUGCUCCAUCGAGCGAGCCACAGCUAAAGAGUCAGCAAAAUUCUACGUUUCCACGAUCUGUGAAAGAACAGAAAAACUUCAGAAUACGAGUUUCUUGAUUCCAGACUGCUGACGUAAGUAGCAGCCAAUGCAGUGAGGACGGUGGGACUGGCUGGUCAGGCUGCUGCGACUGCAGUGAUGCGCGGGCAGCUGCCCUGCCUGCGCGCUGCCUGUGCCGCAGGAGGGGGCAGGACGUGUCCUGGCACCGCUUGAGGGGCACGCUUAAUUGCUGUUGUCAAAUAAAUAUUUAGUGAUGGCAGCGUGACUGAUGUGCAAGUUUGUGUGCGUCCACCGCCUCUCUGUUGUCCAGGCAACAAAGUAUUUUAAACCUGUUCCUGCUGGAGGGUAACGUAGAAGGGAUGUAUCCACACAGGUAUACGAAACUUUAGCCGAGAGUAUUUAUUUACAAAUAAGUGCAUCGCUACAAAAAUGCAGACCAACUUCCCUCUGACAGGCCGAGUGGUAAAUCUGGUCUCGGGAAUCGGAGCCCAGGUGUGCUUUAACCACAUCGCCACCUGUGGGCCUCCUUCAUUUCUGCAUCCCUGGCCUGAGCUGGGCCACAGAGACGUGCGCCCAGUAACCAGUCAGAAUUUAAGGAAAACAUGUCUAGCUGGGAAAAAUGUACUUGGGAAAACAUAGGAUAUCAUAGAUAUGUUUUGGUUUUAUUUGUAUCGCAAUUAAAUAUUGAAAUUUGAGUGGCACCAGAGGUAUGAUUUAAAUGCAGGAGAAAAAUCUAUUUCUGUCUUUCUCCGUAGACUGGGAUAUGUCCAGAGUCAGUGCGUAAAGUGGACUGGAAGCUCGUGGAAAACUUCCACGGGGAAAGGGGAGAGAAGACUGGUGGUAUGGUUAAAAUGAAUGUAUUUUUUAGCAUAGGUCUAUGAAAUACAUCAUCUGGACGUAAUCUCUAUGUACCUAUUACAUUUAAACAUACUCAGCAGUUUUAGAUUUGUUAUUUAGGAUCUGGUACAAUUUGAAAUGUAUAAAGUAACGAGGCAUCCUACAGAUAAGCAACAGUCACUCUUAUUCUAGCUCUCUGACAGCUAAGAGCACAAGAAUAGAGCAAAUGCCAAGCUAAAAUAAAAUCUAAGUUGUCUAAUUAUCUAAAUCUGUAAUGGCUGGAAGCUACCAAAUUCAGACUCUGGAAGAGCCAUCAGGACUUCGCCUUAUUGGAAGAGAUAUUCUACCAAGAAACUACGCCAUAGGCACUAAAAUGUUUACUAGUCUUAAAACAGAUAGUGAUACAAAAAAAAGGGAAUUACCUUCUCAAGGAGCAGAGUUUUAAGUGCCUUAAUGACGUCUUCCAAAUGCCAUUACAAUGUUCAUAUCUUCUUCUGAAAUCUGAUCUUCACUAAUUUUUGUGAUUAAUUUUAACAGAGGAAACCUUAACUGAGAGCAUUUUGCAGAGCAAUAUUUUCCUAAUUUUUCUUUUGUGCAGCAUCUGCUGUUGCUGUGCUGUCAUCUUCGUUAUGUUUUUCAUUGUCUAUGUGCCAUAAUGUAAUUAGUUAGUUCAACAUCAUCUGCGCUAUUAGAUUAGAUGUUUCUAUGGUAAGUUAACAUAGUUCUGUGUAAUUGGUAGAUUUCAGCAGUAGGCAUGAAUGUAUCCAUCAACUUUAGGUCGAUUUGAGUCCGCAAGAUUUAAAUUCACUUGGCAUACAUUAUCCUCGAAGACUGUUAAUUUUGGCUGAAUAGAUAAAAAACACAAUGCAGAAGAAAAUCUGGCUGCUUAUAUCAUGGUGCUGUUGGAGUCAGGGAAAGGAAAGCAUAAAAUUGCUGGCUUAGUAGUUGCAAUCUGCACGUCUGGAAAAUGUUACAGCCUGUGAUCCAAAUAAUUCUUAAACCUAGACAUGCCCCUAAGAUAGCAGGUAGUCCAGAAUUCAUCAGGGUUAUCUCUCCAUUCAUGAAAGGAGUCUUGGUUCUCUCCCUAAAUGCUGCAUUCCUAUGGGACCUUGACUGUCUUUUCCUUUUCUUAUUAGAGAGAAAUGUUGAGGCUGCUGCUUUGUCUUAAGAUCUUCCACGCUGCACUUUGCUAGUCCUUGUGUCUUGUGAGCUGCACUUUUUGAUCAAACAAUUAGACUUUUAAAACAAACCCUCUGACCCCAGUCUCUUUGGAAACAGUGAUGAAAAAUCCAUGGCCAUUUGUUACUUUAAAGUAAUGCAUCCUUUUACUCGCACGUGAUCUGCUGUUUUAGGGCCUCAAACAAUUUAAAACUGUGACUGGAUUAAGUAUUUAAAUUGCAUAUCCAGUGAUAUGGGAGAAUAUGCAUCCUGGCAGAAGCUGGGAAGAAUCCUGGAUGGCUUUACUCUCGGCGUUCUUUUCCAAGUGGUAGACUGUACUGUUUGCCCUAAAGAGCAAGAUAAUACACUUUUAGAAAUAUGUGUAUAGAUUUUGACUUGCUUAUAAAUACAUAAGUAACUAUUUACAGGAACCCAGAACCAUGGAAGGUAAUUAGUAAGCACAGUUCGCUUAGGUAAGGGCUUGUAAGACCCUUUUAUCCUCACUGUAUCUGUAACUUAGGACAGGAGCCAAAUAAUAUAAAUGUCAGUAAUUAUAGAUAUAUAUUUAUAUUAACAAUGAAGUCCACUUUAGGAAGAGCUAAGGCUAUAUUUGUAAUGACCUCAUAUGGCUAAAAUUAUGUUCACUAAUUUGUCCUGUGCACAUCCCUGGUGGGAGAACUGAUCUGUUACUACAAGCCAUCAGCAGCAGAAAGUCCUCGGAGUGAGUUUUGUGACUAAAGUCAAAGACAUCAGAGCUUGAAAUUAUAUGUAAUUUAUGUUUUAAAUUAAAAGUCUCUAGAGGCCACUAGAAUAUGCAUAUGUAAUAAUAAGUUCACUACCUAAAACAAUCUUACAAUUGGAAAUGCUAUAUGAAUUUUGAAAGAGGGCUUUACAUUCCACAGUCUAAUAAAACAAGGCACUUUUUAAGCAAAUCAGGUAAAAUUAUUUUGAAAUUCUUAAACAUAUACUGACAACUGAUUUUUGUGAUGACAUAUCUGUAGAGUGAUAUUUUGUCACUAACAUGAAUACAGUAUUUUUAUAAUUCAGAUGUCACCACAUUUAGCAAGAAAAAAAACAACUUUGGCAAAUACUUAAAAAUAUAAACUCAUAUGGAACUUACCCUUUAAGGGCUAAUUCACAGCUACUUUUAUAGAACUUCCAUUAACACGUUGCCUCUAUUCGCUAGUCACCGUAACAAAUGGUCAGAUUAGAGGAUGGGACAGCACAAUUUGGUGAUGUUUGAAGGCCCGAAUUAUAGAUCAAAGUAGCCACUGAAGUACUUUAACUUUACAGAACAAAAAAGAUCAACCAGAAAGAUUUUUUUUUUUUAAAUAAAAUAUUACUAAUUCAACUGACCAAAAUGCUCUUACCUAAUGCAGAGGUACAUACAUGUUCAUAACAGCGUCAUUUAUGCUUCUAAACAUACUUCCUAUUUUAUGACAGGAUGUUUUUGUUAGAUCAUUGCCACUUCUCAAUCAGAAUUCACUUCAAAAAAUCUCAGCAGAAAAAGUAAACUUGUCUUCUUUUCCCUCUUAGAUAAGAACUCAUUGAAACAUAUUAAAUGUUUUCUACUCAGAGAUGACUAUUUUUUUCUUGUAGCCAUUUUAAAAAUUUCCUUUGUCAAAGGAACAUUUUUGAAGAAUGUAGCUGCACUUUGGUAUGAUUACUGAAAACAGUCCUGUGCAAAAUUCAGUAAAAACAAUGUUCUGGAAUAAUGUACUACCAUGAAAAAUGAAAACUUAACUGUAGCUCGUAUUAUUUAAUUAAUUAGCCAAGUAAGUUUAAAUAUGCAGAAGAAAUCAGUAUUAUGCCUGAGUAAAUAAACAGCAUGUUUAAUAUUUUUUGAUGGUGGUGUCCACACCUAAUACUUUGAUAAUUGCAUUGACAUUCUUUUCAAAGGUGUGUGUCCAGAAGCAAAUCCUAUGUCAUUAGAAUAUCUGCCUGCUACGAGUGUAUCCAGGAAAUGAAUUAUUAACUGUAACUCAUUGCCGUGGAGGAGUAGGCCUGAUAUCCUCAUGAAGUUCCCAUCACCUCUGCACGAUGCUGUAAUUUACAGAAAGGACUGUGACUGAUCUUUUCCACCAAUUUUGCACCUAUCCACAGAGAAGACCUUCAUGAUAUGUGGCUUGGGUUGGAGUAAACCAAUGGAGGAACAUUUGCUCGAGCCAUUUUCUCUGCAGUUUUCAGGGGAAGUUCACAGCCUGGAGCUGCAGAGGAUUUGGUUGUAUGAGACAUCAUCAAUGGGAAGGCAUAGUUUUAGCUAAUACAUGUAGAUGUUUGUAGUGACUGUUUCUGAUGGAAAUUUGACAUUAGCCAUUGUUUCAAAGAGCUGAGAGAAAGCGAGGUGCCGACUGAGAACUGAAACAUACACAUUACAGGGAUCUCCCGUUGAAGUUGUCUUUUUAAUUUAAGGGCUAGCAGCACAGUAUGAGAAAAUGGAAGGUUACAAAAAUAAAAAGGAAGAGCAGCCUGGUGACUUGUGUCUGGCAGAAACGCCUCUAUCCUAUUUGAUCUGAAAUUUACAUAGAUGCAAGUAGUUAUGACACCACUGUCACUCUAAGUUCACUUAACUGGACAUGUAACAAUAAUGACAAACAAUCAGAAUGACAGUUCUCCUUCUAUUCUGCAGUGAGGUUCUUCAUAUCUCAAUUCUGCAACAUUCCUUCUGUUCACUCCACCAGACAAAUGUGCUUCUGUUAUUAUGAUUUCUCUGUUUGACUCGGCGCAGCAUUGUUUUCGCAAAGAGUUUCUAAGCUUUCUAUUCAGUUUUUUCGUCAUACCAUUUAUCAAAGCAAGAGUUUCUUAGUAACAAUUUUUAACAUUAACUCUUUAAUAGUUACUUUGCUGAUGUAAUCCAUUAUUUAAAAGCAUUUUCUUGCAUAAGAAUAUUACAUUAUUUUUCAUAUAAAAAUAUAGCCCUCUACUUUUCUUAAGCUGUUUUUCAGAACUGGAGUGACUACUAUACUCCAUGACCAUAACUCUUUUUAUCAUUCUACUAUGAUUCAGUAGCUUUUGCUGUCUUAUAAACAAUCUUACAAUUAAGAGCUAAUGUUAAUGGAAUAGAUUGUUGUCAUAGGAUAAUGGUUUCCUGCUGCUAGAUAAAUGCUGUGGCAAUGCUAGGACAUUUAUUGAAAGUAAUAGUGAAGACAAAGCUAAGAGAUUUAUUUUUAAAGCAGGUGCCACAGAUCCAGUGACACCAUUCUGUUACAAUUGUUUUAUUUCUAUUUCACUAAAAGACUGAUGAAGAUGGAAGCAUUUUGCUUGAUGUAUGCAAGUGCAGCAAAGUGACAGUGGCUCAUUUCACUGUUACUGAAUAAGCUGCAUUGCACUUGGCUCAGGGAGAGAUUUAUUGUGCGGCUCAUCCAAUCAGAAAAGAGUUUAUCCAUUAACGACAGCUUUAAAAGAUGUUGUAUUUCUAUGAACAAAAUGGGGCUUGGUGCUGUCUUUCACAGAAGCAGUUAGGCACAGUUCACAGAAAAGGAGGAAAGUGAAGCCCUAUGGUGCUUGUUCUGCCACUAAUCCAGAGCCCCCCUUUCCUCCCUGCCACAGGGAUGGCGGGCUGGGGAGGGUGAACCUGUCUGUAGUGUGUUCCCCUCCUCCCGAAUCAAUGGUUCCUUGUCUCCCUUCUUCUGCAUUGGAGGGUGUUGCCUCAGCAUUAGCAGAGCAGCAUUGUUCUUGCCAGCACUGCUGUGCAGGGGGUGGAGAGGAAAGGUUUUGACUAGUUUAGUGUUUCCUCUGUCUUUGAGAUCACAGGAUCUUGAAGUUUGGGAAAUAUGUCUUCUUUCUUUUCCAUGACUUUUAAAACUGCUCACCCCUGAACCCUCCAACAGAGAACUGUGAAAAGCAGAGCUGCUAAAGCUUCCUAGGCUCUCUAUCUGCUGUUGUGGAAUGGCAAUAAAACACCUUGAUUACCCCAAGCAUUCAGCUCCGACAAAAUUGGAGCCGAUUAUCAGGAAGUGCAUGGGAUCCAUUCAAUUCAACGAGCUUUCUCUGGACAGGUAUGCCCCAGUUGCCUGACUUAGGCCUCAACAGAAUUUUUCUUUUGAACUGUAGAGCAGCUAUUCCAAGCGGGAGUGUUGCAGCUAUGACAGCUUCAGGAUACCCAACAAAUUAUAAAAAAUAUGAUCCCUUCCCACAAACUCUGAUCAUUCCAAGGCAUCUUUAAAGUUAUGCUGUAAACCAGCAUAAUGACUUUAUAUGAUCAUAAAGUCCCUGCUAGGAUUUCCUUAUGAAACUAAUUUUAUUAUUAAGGCUCAAGGACCUUGACAUCAAACCAGCAAUUCCCUGUUCCAAAGACUUACUCUGUGUAGCUGCUCACAGCACAGCUCUGAAUUAACUUCUAAGACCAGGGCUUGAAGGCAGUAAACAACUUCAACCUCUUCCUGACCCCAGACACAUCUCACAAACAGGAGUCCAGUAAAUGCAUGAAUUUUACUUUAACCCAUGUGCAGACAUUCUGAAGACUAAUUCAUUCUUCAUUUUCUCAGUUAAAAAAAAAAAAAUUCUAAUAAACGGGCAAGUGUUACAGCACUUGUUCCGAAGAGCCAUCAGAUAAGGCUGGUCCUCUGCUAAGCCUAGCUCUUUAUGAAAAGCGAGCACCAAAGAGAACAUCAUCAAGAAAAGCAGAAGUGGGAGAGACCUGUAAUCCCAACAGAAUUAAUCCUGGCAGCUGUGAGGUCCGUCAGGUCAUCUGAAGAGCUCACAGGCUACAGGGCUCCAGCAAAUACAAACUCUUCCAACUAGAUCUUCAUAGCAGCAGAGUAUCAGACUUGACAUCCUAACGCUUAUGCCUUCCAGUAUCAGUCUCCUAUCUGAAGUUUAGGAUUCGCAUGAAAGUUGUAGGAGAUGGAGAACUUCCACAUCUUUAAAACAUUGGAGUCGCUUGCCUACGUACCUUUAAGGAUGUGACUGUAAGUGUUGUAAAGUCCUAUGAUUUUAUAAAAAUAUUUGUGGUAUCUAUUUAAAGUCCCGACUCUGGAAUCACAAUCUUUAUACAAAUCUGCUUGCAACUUUUUAAAUAGGAAUUUUGAGUCUUCCUAAAAACACCAAUUCUUAAAGAUCAACAAGAAACAAACAAAAACAAUGUCUUCCCAUUUAAUGUUUUGUUUUAAAGAAUUAUUCUUCAUUUGAUCUAAUAAAUAGUGAGGAGUCAUGACUUCUGAAUUUUUGGGAUUACCAGUACGGUAGCCAAGUGUCCUAUCACCACAUACUGACUCUGCUCAGGCUGUCCUCCUCAGUGCAAGGCAUUAUUAAACCUAUUUUGUCGAUAGGCUUCUCCAUAUCACACAGGACUGUAUAAAAUCAAUAUUUAACUUCCAUACUGCACAUUGCUCCCACAGAGGGCUGGAAUUCCCUCUGUCGGUUAUCCUAUCUAAAGCAAAUCCCCAGCCUUUUGCAGCUCUUUUGAUGAACGCAGCUAUGUGUAUCCUGCCUGGAUCCAGCCCAGAUGCUUUAUUUCUAUUGCAUGAGAUGAUUAAUUAUGUGGUUUCUUUCUGUUUGUCUGAUAGAUGCUGAGGUAAGAGAGUGACGGUUGCUUAGUGCACUAUUAUUAAAAAGCUGCUUUUGAUAGCCCUGAACAGGCUUGAGUUGUGUGCUACAACUAAUCAUUAAGCUGCUUACUUGGAAAUGUAAUGCUUGUUAAUACUAUACCAUACUUUUAUAAGUAAACUCAUUUUUGAUUGGCUAGAGUUUAACUAUAAUCAGUAAUUAAGGGUCAGCCAUCCAGUAAACUCAUUAGUUUACACCAAUUACAUUUGGUAUAGUAACUAAUGAUUUCAAGGAUCAAGCCAUUUAUUUCUGAGCUUUCAAAGUAUAAUUAUUGUGUAAAUCAGAUAGAGUGUAAAUCUUUUCCAUACGUUUUGGUUGGUAAUUGAGAAAUAAAAUGGUUUCCAAAUGUA